rnacentral:snoRNA from 1 species
AACAUCAUUCGCGUGAUCACCCUUUACAUAAAGGUAUUGAUUCUUUUUCUGUAGAAUCAAUCACUGGAGGUUUACAUGUGGACAUUAUGCGUAGAUUGACCUUUAAGUAGGAGCACGUUUCUGGGCGCCUGAUGUUGACUAUAAAGUCAUGGGACAUUGGGAAUCAGUUGUGACUACAUUU